AAGGAGUCGACAGCAUCCUUAGGCCAAACUUACUACUUUGGGGAAAAAAUUAUGCAAAUGUAUUGACUAUGAGUGGCAACGCUUAGAAAACUGUAUAUUUGACCGAUUCAUGAAGGUUGGUGAAAGGAGUCGACAGCAUCCUUAGGCCAAACUUACUACUUUGGGGAAAACUUUAUGCAAAUGUAUUGACUAUGAGUGGCAACGCUUAGAAAACUGUAUAUUUGACCGAUUCAUGAAGGUUGGUGAAAGGAGUCGACAGCAUCCUUAGGCCAAACUUACUACUUUGGGGAAAAAUUUAUGCAAAUGUAUUGACUAUGAGUGGCAACGCUUAGAAAACUGUAUAUUUGACCGAUUCAUGAAGGUUGGUGAAAGGAGUCGACAGCAUCCUUAGGCCAAACUUACUACUUUGGGGAAAAAAUUAUGCAAAUGUAUUGACUAUGAGUGGCAACGCUUAGAAAACUGUAUAUUUGACCGAUUCAUGAAGGUUGGUGAAAGGAGUCGACAGCAUUCUUAGGCCAAACUUACUACUUUGGGGAAAAAUUUAUGCAAAUGUAUUGACUAUGAGUGGCAACGCUUAGAAAACUGUAUAUUUGAUCGAUUCAUGAAGGUUGUUGGAAGGAGUCGACAGCAUUCUUAGGCGAAACUUACUACUUUGGGGAAAAAUUUAUGCAAAUGUAUUGACUAUGAGUGGCAACGCUUAGAAAACUGUAUAUUUGACCGAUUCAUGAAGGUUGGUGAAAGGAGUCGACAGCAUUCUUAGGCGAAACUUACUACUUUGGGGUAAAAUUUAUGCAAAUGUAUUGACUAUGAGUGGCAACGCUUAGAAAAUUGUAUAUUUGGUCGAUUCAUGAAGGUUGGUGAAAGGAGUCGACAGCAUCCUUAGGCCAAACUUACUACUUUGGGGAAAAAUUUAUGCAAAUGUAUUGACUAUGAGUGGCAACGCUUAGAAAACUGUAUAUUUGACCGAUUCAUGAAGGUUGGUGAAAGGAGUCGACAGCAUUCUUAGGCGAAACUUACUACUUUGGGGUAAAAUUUAUGCAAAUGUAUUGACUAUGAGUGGCAACGCUUAGAAAACUGUAUAUUUGAUCGAUUCAUGAAGGUUGUUGGAAGGAGUCGACAGCAUUCUUAGGCGAAACUUACUACUUUGGGGUAAAAUUUAUGCAAAUGUAUUGACUAUGAGUGGCAACGCUUAGAAAACUGUAUAUUUGGUCGAUUCAUGAUGGUUGGCUAAAGGAGUCGACAGCAUCCUUAGGUCAAACUUACUACUUGGGGAUAAAAAUGGUGCAGAUGUAUUGACUAUGAGUAGCAACGCUUAGAAAACUGUAUAUUUGAUCGAUUCAUGA